UAGAUCUAUCAUCAUUCAGAGAGGUUGGAAAAAUAUUGUUGUAUUUUUUGGAUAUCAAAAACUAUUUUAAAUGAAUUAAAAAUAACCAUAAAAGAGAAAAUUACUAAAAAAUAUCAUAUGAUAAAAUAAAAAAUAUUAAAAAUCAUUUUUAGAAAGUAGAAAUUAAAAGGAGAAAAAUGAAGUUGGUCUCAUAUUUUUUGGACCAAUAAUGAAGGAGAUAUGAAUUUUUAAAAAAGAAAUGGAAUUAAAA
rnacentral:lncRNA from 1 species